rnacentral:lncRNA from 1 species
CCAGCUGUUCACACUUCCUAUAAGCUCCGAUCCAGUACCAACACUUUACUUAGUCUACCUCAAUACAAAAAGAAAACGGCCUGAUCCUCCUUCUCCUACAGAGCACCGCAAUUGUGGAACGACCUCCCGCACAAUUUAAAAUCAUCCCUAAGCCUAAAGUCCUUUAAGAGAUCCCUCUCUACAUACCUCAAAACAGAAUGCACCUGUCAUGGUUGACUAUAUAUUUC